rnacentral:rRNA from 1 species
GAUUAGCCAUGCUAGUCGCACGAGUUCAGACUCGUGGCGAAUAGCUCAGUAACACGUGGCCAAACUACCCUUCGGAACACGAUACCCUCGGGAAACUGAGGCUAAUAGUGUAUACCAUAUCACCACUGGAAUGAGUGGUAUGCCAAACGCUCCGGCGCCGAAGGAUGUGGCUGCGGCCGAUUAGGUAGACGGUGGGGUAACGGCCCACCGUGCCAAUAAUCGGUACGGGUCAUGAGAGUGAGAACCCGGAGACGGAAUCUGAGACAAGAUUCCGGGCCCUACGGGGCGCAGCAGGCGCGAAACCUUUACACUGCACGACAGUGCGAUAGGGGGAUCCCAAGUGCACAGGCAUAGCGCCUGUGCUUUUCGGUACCGUAAGGUGGUACCAGAAUAAGGGCUGGGCAAGACCGGUGCCAGCCGCCGCGGUAAUACCGGCAGCCCAAGUGAUGGCCGAUCUUAUUGGGCCUAAAGCGUCCGUAGCUGGCCGCGCAAGUCCAUCGGGAAAUCCACCUGCUCAACAGGUGGGCGCCCGGUAGAAACUGCGUGGCUUGGGACCGGAAGGCGCGACGGGUACGUCCGGGGUAGGAGUGAAAUCCCGUAAUCCUGGACGGACC